rnacentral:rRNA from 1 species
UUAGAGGGACUAUCGGUUUGAAGCCGAAGGAAGUUUGAGGCAAUAACAGGUCUGUGAUGCCCUUAGACGUUCUGGGCCGCACGCGCGCUACACUGACGGAGCCAGCGAGUCUAACCUUGGCCGAGAGGUCUUGGGUAAUCUUGUGAAACUCCGUCGUGCUGGGGAUAGAGCCUUGUAAUUGUUGCUCUUGAACGAGGAAUUCCUAGUAAGCGCAAGUCAUCAGCUUGCGUUGAUUACGUCCCUG